rnacentral:tmRNA from 1 species
GGGGAUGUAUCGUUUCGACAGGAUCGCACUUUGACAAACUGCAAGCCGAAUCAUGAUUCUAAAGUGCGUUAAACUUUGAAUCAAAUUUACGUGCAAACAGAAAUGUUGCACCUGCUUUUGCUGUUGCCUAAAAACAACGCUUAAGCUGUCUUUUAAGUUUUUUCUCGGUGAGACUUUUAAGGCAAAAACUUAGCCGGGAUCGAUUGUUUAUUCUGAUCAGGUAAAUAAUCAAAAUUUCGAUCUUUGCUUAAAUUUCGCCUGUUAGCCGGCUAAAGAUUUAAGCAAGAUUUAAAAGACUAACUAAGCUUGUAGAAGUUUUUGAAUUGUAAUCUUGGACCCGGGUUCAACACCCGGCAUCUCCACAA